UAUAAUAUUAAUUAUUAUAUAUACGCUCUUUUUUAUUAAUUUUUUUGAGGAUAAGCUCAGAAAAAAGUUAAGAUAUUUUUAGUUAAAAUUACUGUGUGGGCUUAAAAUUGGCCACCAUAAAAGUUUGUUAUAAAAUAGUAAUCUUAAUUUAGAAGAUAAAUAUAUUUUAGUCUAAACCCUUACGGGGACAAGAGCUUUAAUAAAAUUAAGUUCUAUGCCUAUGCUAGAAUGAGUAUUAAAACCUAAUUAUAAAAGAAAUAUAGUUUAUUUUUCUUCAAAAAAAAUAAUUAAAAAAAUUAAUUAAUUAGAAGGAAUUCGGCAAGUUUAGUUGCUUCGCCUGUUUAUCAAAAACAUGGCUCUUUGCUCACAUAAAUAUAAAGAGUCGAGCCUGCCCAGUGAAUUUUUUUUAACGGCCGCGGUACUCUGACCGUGCAAAGGUAGCAUAAUCAUUUGCCUUAUAAUUGAAGGCUAGUAUGAAUGGUUUGACGAGAGCAACACUGUCUCCUUUUUAUUUUCAAAAACUUAACUUUUAGGUGAAGAGGCCUAAAUUUUAUUGAAGGACAAGAAGACCCUGUCGAGCUUAAAAGACAUUAUAGGAGUCUAAUAUAUUUUUAAAUAAAUUUCUGUUAAACUUUUUAGUUGGGGCGACUAAGGAACAAAAAAAGCUUCUUUCUAACGGAUAAACAAUCAUGUUUGGAUCCGAUAAUAGCGAUCAAAGAAAUUAGUUACCGCAGGGAUAACAGCAUAAUCUCUCUUAAGAGACCUAAUCGAAAGAGGGGGUUGUGACCUCGAUGUUGGACUAGAAUAU
rnacentral:rRNA from 1 species